GACGCAGCGAGCGAGCGUUGUUCGGAAUCACUGGGCUUAAAGGGCGCGUAGGCGGGCUGUCAAGUCUGGGGUGAAAUCCCGCGGCUCAACCGUGGAACUGCCUCAGAUACUGUCGGUCUCGAGGGAGGUAGGGGCGAGCGGAACUGAUGGUGGAGCGGUGAAAUGCGUUGAUAUCAUCAGGAACUCCGGUGGCGAAGGCGGCUCGCGGGACCUUUUCUGACGCUGAGGCGCGAAAGCUAGGGGAGCAAACAGG
rnacentral:rRNA from 1 species